CGGAGGAUCCGAGCGUUAUCCGGAUUUAUUGGGUUUAAAGGGUGCGUAGGCGGCUUUAUAAGUCAGGGGUGAAAGACGGCAGCUCAACUGUCGCAGUGCCUUUGAUACUGUAGAGCUUGAAUGUGGUUGAAGAUGGCGGAAUGAGACAAGUAGCGGUGAAAUGCAUAGAUAUGUCUCAGAACUCCGAUUGCGAAGGCAGCUGUCUAAGUCAUUAUUGACGCUGAUGCACGAAAGCGUGUGGAUCGAACAGGAUU
rnacentral:rRNA from 1 species